UGAUAUAGAAUAAAGAGAUUUUUUUCUAUAUUUAUAUUCAUACAAUACUAAAAGAUUUAUAAAUUUUUUAAUAUUCAUUUUCAACUAAUAUUCUUAUUUGUAUAAUUAUAUUGACUCUAGCAGAAAUAAGCUAUCAGAUCGGUAUUCUUUCCAAGAAAGUUCUUCCAACUCUAUAGUAUAAAUAUAUAUUUUGUGUGAUUGAAAGAAAUCAAUUGGAAUGGAAAAGAAUAUAACAUGUGAUGAGUAUGUGAAAUAUCCUUUAUUCUUAUACCAUCUCCUGUGCCACGUGCAAUAUUUAAGAACAAAUAAAUAUAUAUUUGAAUAUUUUAUACUAUUAAUAAAAUAAUUAAAAGAAAGUAAAAUUAAAAAAAAAUAAUAAUGGAGCAAGGCUUUUCUACAAAAGCUAUUCAUGCUGGACAAGAUCCAUUACAAUGGAAUGACUGUUCGGUAAUACCUCCUAUUACAUUAUCUACUACUUUUCAACAAGAUGGACCUGGACAACCUA